rnacentral:rRNA from 1 species
CCUACGGGGGGCUGCAGUGGGGAAUAUUGCACAAUGGGCGCAAGCCUGAUGCAGCCAUGCCGCGUGUGUGAAGAAGGCCUUCGGGUUGUAAAGCACUUUCAGCGGGGAGGAAGGCGGUGAGGUUAAUAACCUCAUCGAUUGACGUUACCCGCGGAAGAAGCACCGGCUAACUCCGUGCCAGCAGCCGCGGUAAUACGGAGGGUGCAAGCGUUAAUCGGAAUUACUGGGCGUAAAGCGCACGCAGGCGGUCUGUCAAGUCGGAUGUGAAAUCCCCGGGCUCAACCUGGGAACUGCAUUCGAAACUGGCAGGCUAGAGUCUUGUAGAGGGGGGUAGAAUUCCAGGUGUAGCGGUGAAAUGCGUAGAGAUCUGGAGGAAUACCGGUGGCGAAGGCGGCCCCCUGGACAAAGACUGACGCUCAGGUGCGAAAGUGUGGGGAGCAAACAGGAUUAGAUACCCCGGUAGUC